GGACUUCUUCACGUUCCCACGGCCUCCCAGUUGGCAGAGCCGGGCUCAGAGCCCCAGUCUGCAGACUUUCUUGCCAAGACUCUUUCCGCGACACCACAGACUUAUUUUCCUCCUUUCUUUGUGGGGAAGCUUGAGUUACUGGCAGUUUAUUCAGAGGGCCGACAGCCGGAGCCUUUGGUCGGCGACCCAGCUCUGCUCCUUCCCAGACGCCGGGGCCAUUGUGCCUGCUCUCGCCUUUGUGCCUCCGCCUUGGCACUGGCACUGCAAGGCCUUGGGUUUGGUGCCUGAAUGGCUUGUGGCUUCAUGAUAGGGGUCCCCACCCCAAGGAGAGGGAGUCACACAGCAAAGACGGGUGGGCGAGUGACAGUGACACGGAGUGGUUAAGGCUGGCUUUUCAUCUUGCCUCUUCCUCGCUGUGUGACCGUGGCCGAUUUAUUUAACCCCUCACCUCCCAUAAAAUAGGGCUGCGGAUCUCCAGACCACGGUAUCAGUUACCUGUCAGUGAGGAGAGACACUGCCACACACUGUGGCUGAAAACAACACGUAUUUAUUGUCUCACAGUUUCUGGGGGUCAGGAGUCCAGGCCCAGCCCUGCGGGGCCCUCGGCAAGACUGGAGUCAGAGUGUCUGGUGGGGCUGAGGUCUCAUCAGAGAUUCCGCUGGGGGGGAUCCACUUCCACGCUCACCGAGGGAUGUGUGUCCUGGUGAUUAUAGGGCCCAGGGCCUCAAUCUGUGACCUACACCACAGCUCGAGGCAACGCCGGAUCCUUAACCCACUAAGGGAGGCCAGGGAUCAAACCUGCAACCUCAUGGUUCCUAGUUGGAUUUGUUUCCACUGCGCCACAACUGGGAACUCCCCUGCUCUAUUCUGUUGAUUAGAAGCAGGUCCCGGUCCCACCCCCCACUCAAAGGUUGGGGGGAGGUGAUUACACAGGGAUUGUUACCGACCUGGGUUCUUGGCCAGGGAGCGAACCCACACCACCGUUGUAACCAGAGCCACAGCAGUGACAGUGCUGCAUCCUUCACCUGCUGAGGCACUAGGUCCAAAUUAUUUUUGAUCAUGUAUCCCAUGGUUAAAAACGUCCUAUCAUGCAUUCCAAUAUAUGCAUCUUUAAUUUAUCUUAUAAGAUGUGCACAAAAUAGAAAUCACAAGAGGUUGAGAUAAAUUGGAAACAUGCAGUAGACUAUCUUUCUAAUCCUGUCAUCUUCCACCCAUCACUCACUCCUACCUCGUGGUACUUGGAAAGGGGCUGUCAGUAGCAAGAGCGGCUGUGCAUUCAGAUUUCAGACUUUGGUUGGAUCUAAGUAGCUGUGUUCUUGUUUCUUCCCUCCCAGCGUGGCUGACAGGUCUAGGGGCAGUGGGAGAAAGGCUGCUUGGCUGCUGCUGCUCUAGGCCUGCAUCCUCAGAAUCAUCUUCAGUCCUGUAUCUUUGCAAGAAUCCUGCUGGGUCACUGGUCUGUUUUGUAAGAGUUGGUUUGGGUUGAGGUAAAUCAUGUGGUCCCUGAGUUCCUGGUCUCACGUCAACUGUGAUACAGGAACAGCUGCUCAAAAUAUAGAUGAGAGAGGACAUUUCGUCCUGUUGUGGAAGAAGCGCGUGCUCACGUGUAUCCCAUGAGGUCUUGCGGGGGGGGGGGGCUGGAGCGAGGCUGCUGGAGGACAUCUGUCCAUUAGAAAGUAGAACACCUUCCCUUUUUUUCCCUCUUAGGGGCAAAAAUGAACACUUGCCACGUAUUGUUCCUGCACACCCAUGCACCUCCUUAAAUCCGCCUCGGGAGAUGUGCUCACAAUUUGGAGACACCUUCUUCUAUCUCACACCAUACAAGUCUGUUUGCCUCCAGAGUGAGUGCUGGGUUUAUACAGACGUGUCUGGAAGCUUCUGUCCUUCCCUGGUUGGUGGAACGUUUGGAUACCUGCAGCAGAACUGCCCCACGGCACCGCCGGGCGGCCCUGAACCCCCACCCGGAAGGGUUUUAGAAAAGCCUGCAAAGUUUGCGGGGUGGGUCUGGACCAUCCUGCACCGUCUUUCUGGGAAAGAAAAAGUGCUGACGGCACCAGCAGCCUGCAGGGGCUCUUCUGCCAUCCUGGUAAACAGGGUCGAACUGGCCUGCUUUAUCUCCCUGUGCAAAAUGCAGAUUUAAUAGGAAAGUGCCCUCGGAAUCAUUGCUGCUAGGUUGAGUCUCCAGAGGAAUUGGGGAUAACGGUUUAAUAACUAGAAAGGGCUUAGGCGCUUCGCGGUGCCGGGCGUAUCUGAGUCAGCUACUGAAAAACGAACUCGGGACAUUAAACCCUUUUAUCACUCCGCUAGAGCGGGAUGGGGAAAAUCCGUUGCUUGGCAGGGAUGCGUUUACUAGCUUCUGAAGGGGGUGUGUGUGUGAAUGUGAUAGGGAACGGAGCAUUUGUCAGAGUGGAAGGUGGAUCAAAAGACAAAUGAAUUCUUUGAAUCGAAAGAGAGCUUUAAUUUAUCCCACUUUGAACUGCUUCACCAUCAGCAGAAUGUGCUGCACAGAGAGCCAGCCUGUCUUUCCCGGGUCUGCACAUGGCACAGGGGUCUGUCUCUGCUAAUGCUGCGUUUUAAAGGAACAAGCAGCGCUGGGGCAGAUGGCCGAGGCUGGGGAGGAAAGAUAAAUGUCUACUUGGCUGGGCCACAGCGUCACUUUUGCUAACCUAUUCACCUCGCAGCCUGCAGAAAAUAAGAGAUUUCAGCACAGUGGCUCCUCUCAUGCUCCUUAGGUGCAACGGAAGUCAGCCAGCCAGACGGAGGAUGGUAAUUUGCACGAGCUUAGCCCAGUGGUUUCCAGAUUUGGGUCCGUGGAGCCCCAGUAGAGGUUGCCUUCUGCAGAAGACUGGAAAGUGGCCAGUCUGUUCCUGUGUCCAAACCUCUGCAAUGUACCACUGCGGUUCCUCCCAUCAAGGAGUGGAGACGAUUGCUCUGCUCUUUGAAUCAAUUGGGCGUGUGACCUGUCUUGGCUGGUGUGACACCAACCGCUGUCUUGAAAAGCCUUUGUGUGUUAAGGUUUGCUUCCACGAGGCUCUUAGAAAGCACGAGAAGCCCAGGCUUGUCUAUAGGAUGAUGGCAUCUCAGCCGGCCACACCUUGAGAGAGCUGGCCCACUGGUGGGCAGCAGACUGCAGAUGGCAGGAGGACCCUGCCGCAGUCUGCAGGAGAACCGGCUAGCUGAGGCCAGCCCAGCUAGCUGACUUCCAGAAUGUCCGCUGAACAAAGGGCGACUGUCAUAAGCCAUUAGCUUUGGGUGGUGUGAGAUGCAGCAAAAGCUACCUAUGGGCAGAACAAGGGGGCUGAGAGGCAAUAUUCAGGGUCCCCAAAUUUGGUUGCCUGCGGAGUAGCUCUGAUGUGUCUGCUCUUUCAUUUAAGCUCUUGUUGGAACACAGUAUGUUGGGGGUCAAGGUAGGAGGUGGAGAGCUGUCGGUUUAGUCGCCAGCAUCCCAGAAUAUUCCCGUUGCUGCUGAAUGAGCCGUGAGCUAUCGGCCCUGAAGCUACCACUUCUGGUUUUGUAGUUUGGAAAUCUUGGAAGAGGUGCUGGGACAGCUGAUCGGUCCCCCAGUUGUUAUUUUUCCAUAUUCAAAUCAAGUGGGUAGAUUUAUUGGCUGUCUCUGGUACUUAGCGAGGUGAGCACACCUCAGCGUAGGACCCUGGGAACCGUGGCUUCCUAUUGACCCCGAAGCCGCGGCGCAGCGGCGCAGGCGGACAGCCAGCAGACGGCGAAGCUAAGGGCCGCGGGCUCACCUUUCUGCAGUGAUGCGGUCCACAGGGUUCGGGAGCUUUUCUUUCGUAGCAUCUUCCUCUUUUCAAGCUCCUUGGAGACCGGGGUCCCCGCGGUGCAGGGGAAGGCUGGCCCCACUCCAGUCCCCCAGUCCCUUGUCCUUCGAAGGGCUGCGCCGUCUGAAUUUAGGGUCAGUUCCUACCAGGGGAGUCCGGAGUAGAUCAGCGGUGGGAUUGCUGCUCUCUGUGUGAGAGGGCAGCCAUGUGACUUUGCUCGGUUAAAUUUUUGCCUGUUCAUCGCAGCUUCUGAGUGUUCCCGCCACCGCGAUAUGCCGUUGCCAGUGCUCUUAGGCAGGAUCUGCGCUUGAGGAGGAGCGUGGGAGGAACUCUUCUUUUCGGGAGCCAUGAACCAAGAGGAGUGUCUCUGGUCUUGGGAGGUCCCUGGCCAAGGGAGGCAGCCUUUCAGCCGUGCACCGUGCUUGCUGCCGUCCGCCUGUUGAAUUCUUGCACAGUUACUGUCCGCAGGGGACGCGGGUAGCUUGUCCUUGUCCUCCUUGAAGCUUUCUUCUCCUCUGGCCGAUCCUUCCUUCCACUGCACAUGGUCUUAGCGGGACUGUUGUUCCAGGUGCCUACGCGCCCCUGGUCCAAGCUCAGCCCCUUAGAUGCUCUCAUCUGUCAGUUUCAAAGGUAAACCCAUGACAGGCAGGCAGGUGCAGUUGUAGCUGACGGAUGCUCUUGCAGGGUCUCUGAAGAGCCCGUCCAUCCGGUUGUUCAUCUCUGUGCUCAGUGCUGAUCCCCCUGGGGCUCUUCUCUUCCAGGUAGAUUUCCUUCCAUUUUGAGGGCUUCUCAUCCUUUCCAGUAGAUUCAUCUUUGGCUCAAGUUAACUGGAGUAGUUUUUGUUGGCUUCAGCUCAAGAACGCUGAUUGAUACACUUUUCUUAGCUGAGGUCAGCACCUGUGGUGGUCAGAAGAAAUCUGGUUCUCCUCUCUACCUGGACAUUGGUUGAACGGUACUCUCCUGCCUUCUUUCAAAUUUGGUGUGGCCAAGUGACUUUCUCUGGUCGUGGAAACUGAGUGCAGAUGUCCUAUCCAGGUGGACAUUUCAAGGGCCGGUGUAAGAUAGAUCCCGUUCUCUUCCUCCUGCCAUGGUGGUUGUGGGUGAGUUAGCAAGACAGAGCAUCUGUCAGCCUCAGUCCCCAAGCCAUUCGGAUGAGCAGAACCCUCUGCUCCUCUCCCCUUUGCCCGCACUGGGCAUGCGGGGAGAGUGAGAAGGGAACCUUUGCUUUUAUGAGGCCCGGGCUCUUGGAAACGCAUGUCACCUUAGCCUAGUCUCUCCACGCUUGGCUCAUAAAUCCGCUACUUGGGCAAGUCCACCUCCGUAUUGGUAACAUCAUGCAAACUACCUUGCGUCUCUCUCCUAGUUUGCCUGAUUUCCAUUCUCCAUCAACCCAGGAUGGAUAGGUUUAUCCCUUUGAACUUCUCACUGUGGAGCAAGGCAGCCGUCCCCAAGAGCGUUCUAAACGUAACAGCAUUCACUCUUGCCAUGAGGACGUACUGCGCGCCCAGCACUAGUUUUAUUAUUGCAUCGGGAGCUAUGAGAGACACCAAAGAAUAGAAGAGGCCAUCUGAAAGGACUAAUAAUCCAGCUGGAGAGACAAGACGGACAUGAAGUAAUAGCAAAGAAAGGCACAGCAUAAGAAGUACUGUAGGGAAUCUACAAAUACCUGUUGAAGCGGUCGGACAAAGGGGCCAGGAGAUGCUCCAUGGAAGAGAGGAUUUUGCUGCUUCUUCGGUGGGGCCGGGUCUCAAAGUCUGUAUUAAAAUGGCAAGGCGUGUUUUUAUGGAGAGGUAUAGGCUGAAUAAAACAAGUUUUGAAAAUCAGUUUGAUUCAAAGGGAAGGAAAUUGUAACAGAGAAAACUGGAAAAGUAAUUGAGAGCUGGAUUAGAGAAAGCUUGGAGUUAGUUUGGGAAAUGUACCCCAACUUCAGGAAUCACAUUCAGAAUCCGCAGGAAGGGCAGGAAGACGGGAAAGGAAGAGGUUUGGCAGCCGCAUUAGUCCCCGUCGUUGGGAAAAGCAAAAGCCUUUCCCCAAGUGCCCAGCCUUCCGUCUCAUUAACCAAGCUGGUAUCUCCUAGCCGCUCCCACCUGCCAUCCAGGCCCUGGAAAAGCCCCCGUAGAGCCUUCCUUAGCUCUGGAAUGAGAGUGGGCAAGGAGGACGGGGUCCGAGGCCAGGGGUAGCUUUAGGGAAGGGAUCGUAUCGGCUCCUUUCCGUCACUGCAUCUCCUGGGGAGUGUCACGGCUCUGUGGCUGCAUCCGCGUGGACACCUACUGUCGAAGGAAGAGGUCAGACAGGUGCGGAAAGGGGGCCGAGGAGAUCCCGAAAGGGUCACGGUAACUCAGGUGUGGCGCAUAUUAGACCCCACGAGGCUGAACUCCGUGAGCCUUAGGGAGCACGGCCCGUGAGGAUGGGUCUUGAGCUGGGCCCGUGUUUGCACAUGAAAGCGAACAACGUGAUCCCAGCCCAGGGAGCUCUCACUGUCUGAGGUGAGGUAAGUCUAACAGGCAGGAGACGUGAGUGCCGGCGGCAGUCAGAGCGAGGACGAGGACCUGCAGAAAUGAGGAGAGAAUUAAGGACUAAUUCAGCGUUAGAAUCUUUACGGACAGGUGCCACAGCGGCUGGAGAGUCCUGUAGCGCUAACGGUGGGCAGAACGUGGUGGAAGAUGGCAAGAGAAGAAGAAGGUCCAUGUGUGUGUGACUGGGUCACUGUGCUGUACGACACUGUCAAUCAACUGUACUUUAAUAAUAACAAUGAAAAAAACAAAGACAAAAAAGAAAACACUACCU
rnacentral:lncRNA from 1 species